rnacentral:rRNA from 1 species
UACGAAGGGGGCUAGCGUUGCUCGGAAUCACUGGGCGUAAAGCGCACGUAGGCGGACUCUUAAGUCGGUGGUGAAAUCCUGGAGCUCAACUCCAGAACUGCCUUCGAUACUGGGAGUCUCGAGUCCGGGAGAGGUGAGUGGAACUGCGAGUGUAGAGGUGAAAUUCGUAGAUAUUCGCAAGAACACCAGUGGCGAAGGCGGCUCACUGGCCCUGUACUGACGCUGAGGUGCGAAAGCGUGGGGAGCAAACAGG